rnacentral:rRNA from 1 species
AAACGUAGGGGGCGGGGGUUGUCCGGAUUGAUUGGGCGAAAAGGGCGCGUAGGCGGCGCGGAAAGUCUGGAGUGAAAGUCCUGCUUUCAAGGGGGGAAUUGUUUUGGAGACUGCCGCGCUUGAGGGAAGGAGAGGUUAUCGGAAUUCCCGGUGUAGCGGUGAAAUGCGUAGAGUUCGGGAGGAACACCAGUGGCGAAGGCGGGUAACUUGACUGCAACUGACGCUGAGGCGCGAAAGUGUGGGGAGCAAACAGGAUUAGAUACCCUGGUAGUCCACACUGUAAACGAUGAAUGCUAGGUGUACGAGGUAUCGACCCCUUAUGUGCCGGAGUCAACACAAUAAGCAUUCCGCCUGGGGAGUACGGCCGCAAGGUUGAAACUCAAAGGAAUUGACGGGG